GCGGUGGGCGGCUGCUAUACAUGCAGUCGAACGCACAGCGAAAGGUGCUUGCACCUUUCAAGUGAGUGGCGAACGGGUGAGUAACACGUGGACAACCUGCCUCAAGGCUGGGGAUAACAUUUGGAAACAGAUGCUAAUACCGAAUAAAACUUAGUGUCGCAUGACACAAAGUUAAAAGGCGCUUCGGCGUCACCUAGAGAUGGAUCCGCGGUGCAUUAGUUAGUUGGUGGGGUAAAGGCCUACCAAGACAAUGAUGCAUAGCCGAGUUGAGAGACUGAUCGGCCACAUUGGGACUGAGACACGGCCCAAACUCCUACGGGAGGCUGCAGUAGGGAAUCUUCCACAAUGGGCGAAAGCCUGAUGGAGCAACGCCGCGUGUGUGAUGAAGGCUUUCGGGUCGUAAAGCACUGUUGUAUGGGAAGAACAGCUAGAAUAGGAAAUGAUUUUAGUUUGACGGUACCAUACCAGAAAGGGACGGCUAAAUACGUGCCAGCAGCCGCGGUAAUACGUAUGUCCCGAGCGUUAUCCGGAUUUAUUGGGCGUAAAGCGAGCGCAGACGGUUUAUUAAGUCUGAUGUGAAAGCCCGGAGCUCAACUCCGGAAUGGCAUUGGAAACUGGUUAACUUGAGUGCAGUAGAGGUAAGUGGAACUCCAUGUGUAGCGGUGGAAUGCGUAGAUAUAUGGAAGAACACCAGUGGCGAAGGCGGCUUACUGGACUGCAACUGACGUUGAGGCUCGAAAGUGUGGGUAGCAAACAGGAUUAGAUACCCUGGUAGUCCACACCGUAAACGAUGAACACUAGGUGUUAGGAGGUUUCCGCCUCUUAGUGCCGAAGCUAACGCAUUAAGUGUUCCGCCUGGGGAGUACGACCGCAAGGUUGAAACUCAAAGGAAUUGACGGGGACCCGCACAAGCGGUGGAGCAUGUGGUUUAAUUCGAAGCAACGCGAAGAACCUUACCAGGUCUUGACAUCCUUUGAAGCUUUUAGAGAUAGAAGUGUUCUCUUCGGAGACAAAGUGACAGGUGGUGCAUGGUCGUCGUCAGCUCGUGUCGUGAGAUGUUGGGUUAAGUCCCGCAACGAGCGC
rnacentral:rRNA from 1 species